rnacentral:rRNA from 1 species
UACAGAGGGUGCGAGCGUUAAUCGGAAUUAUUGGGCGUAAAGGGCGCGUAGGCGGCUUGGCAAGUGGAUGGUGAAAUCCCUCGGCUUAACCGAGGAACUGCCGUCCAAACUGCUUUGCUUGAGACCGGGAGAGGUGAGUGGAAUUCCCAGUGUAGCGGUGAAAUGCGUAGAUAUUGGGAGGAACACCAGUGGCGAAGGCGGCUCACUGGACCGGUACUGACGCUGAGGCGCGAAAGCGUGGGGAGCAAACGGG